ensembl:snRNA U6 U6 spliceosomal RNA
GUGCUCACUUUAAUAGCAAAUAUACUAAAGUUGGAACAAUACAGAUAUUAUCAUCCUGUGCAAGGAUGACAUGCAAAUUUGUGAAGCAUUUCAUUAAAAAAAUUUUU